rnacentral:rRNA from 1 species
UACAGAGGGCGCGAGCGUUAAUCGGAAUUACUGGGCGUAAAGCGCGCGUAGGCGGCUUUGCAAGUCGGGUGUGAAAUCCCCAGGCUUAACCUGGGAACUGCAUUCGAGACUGCAUUGCUAGAGUAUGGGAGAGGGAAGUGGAAUUUCCGGUGUAGCGGUGAAAUGCGUAGAUAUCGGAAGGAACAUCAGUGGCGAAAGCGACUUCCUGGACCAAUACUGACGCUCAUGUGCGAAAGCGUGGGGAGCAAACAGG